ensembl:lncRNA
CAUUUUUCAUAUUUAACAGAGGAUGAGCAGCUUUUCUUACUUAUGAUUCAAAUCGAAGUGGGCUUUAAAUUGGCACUAAAAUCUGUUCAUUUAUCACCUUAAAAUAGUUCUUAGUAGUAACAAAUACAACACAAGUGCCCUACACUCCUGAUACCGGAUACAUUGGAAAUGUGUAAGCAACCCCAAAUCCCCUGAGUUUACAAAGAAUGUGCAGAAAAAGGGACUUUCAUCCAUCCCCUGAGAGGGAUCCUUAAGGAUCACUCUGUUCCAACCCCCCGCCAUGGGUUGGGUGCCCCCCAGCUCAGCCUGCCCAGGGCCCGUCCAUGGCCUUGGGCACCUGCAGGGAUGGGGCACCCACAACUAUGGGCAGAAGAUGCCAACAGGAUGUGUUCGUGUUUGUGUCAGGGAAAUAAACACCAGGAAAAAAACAGCUACAAAGAGACGUUAAGCAGUGCCACGUUUGGUGCAGGGCUCAGCAGCAUGCAGUGAGCGAAGCAUGGGGCUGCACACUGAAUAAGAAUGACGAAAAAAAAAAAGCCCAACAGCUGUCUCAUUCAUUGAGCACGAUUAAUCUGAUCUGAAAGAAGCCGGGUUCCUAUGGAAAAACAAUGUGCAGCUUGUAAUCAAGAAGCAUCUCAAAGCAUGUGCAUAAGUGGUUUGAUUCUCCCAUAAAAGGGUUGGAAAUCCAAUACAACUAUUGACAUGCAGAGAUCUUUACAACAGCAGAAAGCAGAUGCUCUGGCCAAGGAUCAAAGCUUUGAGCACUGGUUUAGGCCAUCCAGGAGGUCAUUUCCUGACCUCCAAAUCUCCCUUUCCAACAUGAAAGUUCUGCUGAUUUAUUCUUUCACUUGUUUGCACUGCUUAUGUGGAUGAGAUAGAGCACAGAAACUGGAACUUUUAGGAGCUGUGUGGCACUGGGAGAGAAAUGAGGGGUGUGGGGCAGAAACAAGGAGAUGGGGUUGGCAUGGUGUCACCGCAUGGCCGGACACCGGCAUGAAGGCACCACAUGGUUGGGGUUGGGUUGGUGGCACUGCAUGGUAGGUGUUGGGGUGAUGGCACCAUGUGUUUGGGGUUGGGUUGGUGGCACCAUGUGGUUCGGGUUGGGUUAGCAACACCACAAGGUUGAGGUUGGGUUGGUGACACUGCAUGGUUGGGGUAGGGGGCACUGCAUGGUGGUUGGGGUUGGGUUGGUGGUACUGUGUGGUUGGGGUUGGGUUGGCAGCACCACAUGGUUUGGGUUGGGUUGGUGGCACUGUGGGGUUGGGGUUGGGGGCACUGCAUGGUGGUUGGGGUUGGGUUGGCAGCAUCACAUGGUUGGGGUUGGGUUGGUGGCACUGCAUGGUUGAGGUUGGGUUGGCAAUACUGCAUGGUUGAGCUUGGGUUGGUGGCACCAUGUGGUUGGGGUUGGGUUGGUGGCACUGCGUGGUUGGGGCUGGUGUGGUGGCACCAUGUGGUUGGGUGGGUGGCACUGUGGGGUUGGGUUGGUGGUACCACAUGGUUGAGGACCAGAGGCCACACUCCCACCCAGGGCCACCCACCGCCUUCCCAUGGAGGGAAACCACAGUGAAGGCUCCUGCAACGUCUCAGGACACACAGGACCAACUCUCAGUCCUUUCAGGACGGGAUUUGUCCCUUUUGGGUCACGAAAGACCUUUCCAUUCCUUUGGUUAAAAACAACCAAGGAGAAGCUACAGCACUCAAACCUGAUUUUGUACUUUUUAUCCCUGCUUUGUGACAGCAAAUGAGGAUCAAAAUAGAGCAUCGUGUGGGUGGGUGUAGAUUUAAAUAGCAAAUGGGCACACGGCCGGUGCCAUCCGUCCACCGCAGCACCGCACGGAGCAAUGCCCUGAGCACAGCUGGGCACAUCCCAGCCCUUCACACAGAUCACAGCCUGCAGGAUGCUGCCAUCUCCCCACGGCUAGGGGGACAACAUAGAACCACUG